UUAGGAAUUUUGCGCAAUGGCCGAAAGGCUGACGCAGCAACGCCGCGUGAGGGAUGAAGGCCUUCGGGUUGUAAACCUCUUUUAGUAGGAACGAAAAAAAUGACGGUACUUACAGAAAAAGCACCGGCUAACCCUGUGCCAGCAGCCGCGGUAAUACAGGGGGUGCAAGCGUUACUCGGAAUCAUUGGGCGUAAAGAGCGUGUAGGCGGUUCGUUAAGUCUGGUGUGAAAUCCCUGGGCUCAAUCCAGGAAGUGCAUUGGAUACUGACAGACUAGAGUAUAGGAGAGGAUGGUGGAAUUCCUGGUGUAGAGGUGAAAUUCGUAGAUAUCAGGAGGAACAACAGUGGCGAAGGCGACCAUCUGGACUAUUACUGACGCUAAGGCGCGAAAGCGUGGGGAGC
rnacentral:rRNA from 1 species